AUUGAACGCUGGCGGCAGGCCUAACACAUGCAAGUCGAACGAGUGGCGGACGGGUGAGUAAUGUAUGGGAAAAUGCCUGAUAGAGGGGGAUAACUACUGGAAACGGUAGCUAAUACCGCAUACCAUCGGAUGUACCCAGAUGGGAUUAGCUAGUAUGUGGGGUAAAGGCUACCCUAGGCCACGAUCCCUAGCUGGUCUGAGAGGAUGACAAGCGACACUGGAACUGAGACACGGGCCAGACUCCGACGGGAGGCAGAAGUGGGGAAUAUUGAACAAUGGGCGCAAGCCUGAUGCAGCCAUGCCGCGUGUAUGAAGAAGGCCUUAGGGUUGUAAAGUACUGGCAGCGGGGAGGCGUUACCCGCAGAAGAAGCACCGGCUAACGCCGUGCCAGCAGCCGCGGUAAUUC
rnacentral:rRNA from 1 species